rnacentral:lncRNA from 1 species
AGGGGUUCAUCAGCUUUGGGCAAGGGUUUAGUUGAGAAGGGGCAAAUGACAAACAAAAACCAGACAAAUCUAAUAUAAUCCUCUUAUUUACAGAUGAGGAAUCUGGGAGAGUCCCCAAAUCUCACAGCCUGUUAGUGCCCUCAGAGGUCUUGAAUCCCAGCCCUGGAUCUUUCCACCAUGGCUCACACCACUGCGUUAUCAGUUCUCCAGCCUGGGGAUGGUAUUCCUCUUUAUCUGUCUUGGGCAGGGAUCCUCACUGUAUCUCUUACUACUCUUCCAUGUUGAUACCUCCUCCAGCCCUGGGCCGAGAUACAGAACGGAGCAGACAGCUUCUGGGAAGACCAGGUUCUGGCAUUUCUUGGACCGUGUACCAGAAUGGUUGUUGGAGAAAACCAUUUGAUGUCCCUGAGUCUCCAUUUCUCUGGAAAAAGAUAAGUUAG